rnacentral:misc_RNA from 1 species
AACCUUAUGGACCUGCGGGCGUAUACCUGCGGAGGGAUCAUUAUAGAAUUGUUCGAAUUCCAUACGGGCAUUUUCUAAAAAAUCCGUAUCCACACCGGUUUAGGGGGGGGUUUCCUCUCCUUUGCCGUAGGGUUCCUUACCCUCUCUCUCUCACUCUCUCUGUGGAGUGUGGUGGGGGGUUUGGUUCCUGUCUGACCCAUGCCUAUAAUUUUAUUUUGUCUGAACUUUUAUAAUUAAUAU